CUAUAAGAUUAUCUAAAAUUCCUGUUGGCUUACUAUAGCCUUCCUCAGGCUAGUACCCAUCGUCUAUGUUUGGAUUACAAAUCUUCACAUUUUCUAUAGCCAGUUCUGGGAGUUGUGGCUCCUAGACAUUUUAGAGCAUCAGGUUUUUCUCACACAUUUUGUGGUUCUUGUCUUUUGCAUGGAACAUGUAAUCAGAAGAAUCAGAGGGUGAAGCAACUGAGGAGAAAAGAUUGUAUAGCCAACCCCACAGUGCUUCUACAACACAGGCUGAAAAUGGCUUCAUCUUGAAGAGAGAAAUUAGAAGCACUUUGCACAAGAGUGUUCAUGGUGUCUCCAGUACAGUACAGAAAGAAUUUGCAUACUUUAAGUGAACCUGGAAAAGAAGACAUGGCUGAUUUAAAGAACUGACUCAUCAAAGUGAUUCUUAAAGCUUCAGCAUCUUUCAUACUCAUGUGAAAACUUGAAAAAAAGGGCAAGGCUGCCUCAGUGGAUAGAAGAAAGAGCUAUAAUUGUAGUCACAUGAUCUAAAGCACUUCUGAAUCAAUUUCAAACAAGGCAGAGCCCAAAAUUUGAAUUAGUCCUAAGCAACUACCCUCAGUGGCUACUAUGCACAAGUCAAUCCCAGGUGAUUUAAAGUCCAUCUUCUACUGAA